GAUGAAGAACGCAGCGAAAUGCGAUACUUGGUGUGAAUUGCAGAAUCCCGUGAACCAUCGAGUCUUUGAACGCAAGUUGCGCCUCAAGCCAUUAGGUUGAGGGCACGUCUGCCUGGGCGUCACAUAUCGUUGCCUGAUGCCAGUUUCCUCGUGAUGGGUGACUGUGCAGGGCGAAUGAUAGCUUCCCGUGAGCAUUGUUGCCUCAUGGUUGGUUGAAAAUUGAGUCCUUGGUAGGGAGCGCCGUGAUAGAUGGUGGUUGAGUGACGAACGAGACCCAAUCAUGUGAGACCCCUACCGAAUUUGGCCUUCAUGACCCACAUGCGUCUUUGGAACGCUCAUGACGAGACCUCAGGUCAGGCGGGGCUACCCGCUGAGUUUAAGCAUAUCAAUAAGCGGAGGA
rnacentral:misc_RNA from 1 species